AACCUCCGCAAUGUGAGAAAUCGCGACGGGGGGAUCCCAAGUGCCAUUCUUAACGGGAUGGCUUUUCAUUAGUGUAAAGAGCUUUUGGAAUAAGGGCUGGGCAAGACCGGUGCCAGCCGCCGCGGUAACACCGGCAGCUCUAGUGGUAGCAGUUUUUAUUGGGCCUAAAGCGUCCGUAGCCGGUUUAAUAAGUCUCUGGUGAAAUCCUGUAGCUUAACUGUGGGAAUUGCUGGAGAUACUAUUAGACUUGAGACCGGGAGAGGUUAGAGGUACUCCCAGGGUAGAGGUGAAAUUCUGUAAUCCUGGGAGGACCGCCUGUUGUGAAGGCGUCUAACUGGAACGGUUCUGACGGUGAGGGACGAAAGUUAGGGCGCGAACCGGAUUAGAUACCCGGGUAGUCCUAACCGUAAACGAUGCGGACUUGGUGUUGGGGUGGCUUUGAGCUGCUCCAGUGCCGAAGGGAAGCUGUUAAGUCCGCCGCCUGGGAAGUACGGUCGCAAGACUGAAACUUAAAGGAAUU
rnacentral:rRNA from 1 species